GUGGGUGGUAACGGUGAAAGGGCUCCUUACUGCGCCUGCGUGAUCUCCCCGCCAUUCCAACUUCCGCGCCUGCGCGGCACUGCUUGCAAUUGCUGCGCGUGGAUUUUAAAUUUGAAAGUUUUUUUUAAAAACCGGCGAAGCAGGAACUUGAUUUAAAGCGACCUUUUCCUCACCGGGUAUGCUGCCAGACCUGCUGAGCUUUUGCACCAACUUCUGUUUUUAUUGCUGCCGGAUCUACCGAGUUUCUCCGGCAAUUUCUGUUUUUUUUUUACGAUCUCCAGCGGCCUUAGAUGUUUGUUUUGUCGCAUUAUUGUUUUGAACUUAUUGCACCAGCUCGUUUGUUUCGCAGAGGAACUUUUCACUUCAAACCGAAUAAACGGCCUUGAGUUGGCGUGGCUGUGGUGAAGGUGAAAAAUUUGAUUGUUAAAACAGUCAUCUCAACUUGGUUCAAUUCAUUGAGCAAAGGAUACCUGAAAAAAAAUUCUCUGACUAUGGAACCUAGUUGAUUUCCAGAGAAUUUAAGAAGGCUGCUGAACAUUAUGAAUUCAACAUCAUCACUUCAUCAUCACAUUACCCAAGGAGACACAGAUUUAUAGUGUGAUAAUCUCAACAUUCUGUAUCCCAUGUGCUGUGAAAUCUGAUACCUGUGGAGAUUGUAAAUAUUCAGGCACAGGAUAUCAGGAAGUUCCAUUGGUCAUUGCAUUUGAUUCUGCCCAGUAAUAAAAGUGGAAUGCUCUGGAAGUAUCGUAAUGUGUCACUCAAACAAUUACAGGAUAAUUGAACAGUUCCAGAGACCGUUAUUUUAGUAAGUUGGGGAACUCAACUGCAGACAACUAAAGUUCAGUACAGCUAGGACGUGGGAGUUUGGAGAAACCCAAGAGGAUGU